CAAUUAAGCCUCCUUCCUUUAUAAAUUACCCAGUCUCGGGUAUGUCCUUAUAGCAGUGGGAGAAUGGACUAAUACACAAUCCCAUCUGCCCUGACAUAACCCUGGCACCCCUUUUAUAAGAGACCUGUAGAAGGCAUGUGGUGUCACAAAAAAGCAGGUUCAUUGGGUCAAGGAAAUGGUUUUACUUGUGUGUCUGCCACUUUCUAGGUGUAUGGCUUUGAUCCAAUAAUCGAAUCCCUGUUAGUUUCCUCAGUUGUACAUCAGGCUAACAAUGCCUACCUCACAGAAUUCAUGUGGAGAUUACAUGAGACAAGUCAGGAAAAACACCAAGCUUAAUAAAUGGUGCAGAGUAGACAUUCAAUCAAUAUUUGUUGAAUAAGUGAAUGCAUUAUAUAUAUAUGUAUAUAUAUAUUUCACUGUAUAUAUUUACUCAUUAGCUCUGGAGGGGUUUAUCUAGCUAGCUCUGCUCAGAAGACAAGAAUUUCACAUUUUUCAUCAGUUUUAGCUGAAACAUUCCAAUUUAGGAAACUGGGUCAAGCCAUAUCACUGUGCAUUAAUUAUAAGUUGUGAUUCCAGCAACCUGUAGAAAGAUGAGAAAAUGGUCCAGUACCUGCAGUUUUCCACAGCAACAAAUGUACCUCUGACAGUUUCCAUAAUCACCACCCUUUACAAUUGCUUGGGCCUGCAUUGUUUACAAAGAGCUGCUCACACCCAUGAUCACGUAUAACUCACCUUCAAGGAAGUUGAGUUAUUCCAUUUUGUAGUUGAAAAAAUUAAGGCUCCAAGAGGUGAAAGAACUUGCUUAGAUCAUGCCUGGUGGUUGGUGGCAGAAAAGCUGGAAUCUCUGGGAUGUGCCUAAAUUGAUUAUCACUACAGCAUGUGCUUGGUUACUUUGUUAAAGGCAUAAGGAUGAAUUCAAGGAGGAUCCUGCCCGGUGUUAUUUGCCCCUGGCUCCCCUGAACCCCUCAGGUAGAGGUUCUGAGGGUCCUAUCUAUAUAUUACAGCCUAUCCCUGUUCCAGAGCCAGUUUGGAAGGAGAAAGAGGAGAGAAGCAGCCUCAAUCCUCUAGACUUAUGGGGUCACAGGAACUAUUUCCAUAAUAUCAUUGCAUUCUGGGACCUGAUAGCCCAGCCAGGAUGCUGUCAUCUACUUGGAAGCCAUGGAGAUGUGGCCAGAUAACUUGGGUCAAGUCUGGCUCAGGGGUGGUGGUGUUUAUCUGGAGUGACAAGAUGUUACACAGGUGAGGAAAAAAACCUACUAUUGAUUUUUUUGUGAAGAGACAAAAACUGAGUGGUUAUGGCCACGUUGCCGACCUCGAGCAGCAGUUGGCUUCUUCAUGUAGAACCUGGGAGUAGGAGACUCAGAAUCGAAUCUCUUCUCCCUCCCCCUCCUGUUUUCAGCUUUGUGAGAAACCUUAUCAUCAAAUGCAAUGGCCAGCAACAUUACCAAUAAGACAGAUCCUCGCUCCAUGAACUCCUGUGUGUUCACUGGGAAUCUCAACACUCGUGUGGUCAAGAAAUCUGACGUGGAGGCAGUCUUUUUGAAGUAUGGCAAAAUUGUGGGCUGCGCUGUUCAUAAGGACUUUGCCUUUGUUCAAAAUUUUAAUGGGAGAAAUGCCCGGGCUGCUGGAGCAGGAGAGGAUGGCAGAAUGAUUGCUGGCCAGGUUUUAGAUAUUAACCUGGCUGUGGAGCCAAAAGUGAACUGAGGUAAAGCAGGUGUGAAACGAUCUGCAGCGGAGAUGUAUAGCUCCUCUUUUCAGUUGGACUGACUAUCAAGGUGAUGAUGAUGAUACGAUGUACAGUUACUCAGCACAUGUGCCACCUCCUCCUCCUAUUGCUCGUGUUGUAGUGCCCUGGAAACGUCAGCGUGUAUCAGGAAACAACUCACAAAGGGGCAAAAGUGGCUUCAGUUCUGAGAGUGGAGAGCGGGGAUCUUCCAAGUCUGGAAAGUUGAAAGGAGAUGACCUUUAGGCCAUUAUGAAGGAGUUGACCCAGAUAAAGCAAAACGUGGAUUCUCUCCUGGAAAACCUGGAAAAAAUGGAAAAGGAGCAGAGCAAACGAGCAGUAGAGAUGAGGAAUGAUGAGUCAGAAGAGGAGCAGAGCAGCAGCUCCGUGAAGAAAGAUGAGACUCACGUGAAGCUGGAGUCUGAAGGGGGUGCAGAUAACUCUGCUGAGGAGGAGGACGUACUGGGUGAUGAUGAUAAUGAGGAUGGGGAUGACCAGUUGGAGUUGAUCAAGGAUGAUGAAAACGAGGCUGAGGAAGGAGAGGGUGACAGAGACAGCACCAAUGGCAUGGAUGACUCUUAAGCACAUAGUGGGGUUUAGAAAUCUUAUCCCAUUAUUUCUUUACCUAGACGCUUGUCUAAGAUCAAAUUUUUCACCAGAUCCUCUCCCCUAGUAUCUUCAGCACACGCUCACUGUCCUCCCCAUCCUUGUCCUUCCCAUGUUUAUUAAUUCAUGUUGCCCUGUGCCUAGUCCUGUUUUCACUUCCUUUGGCACUCCUAGUAGUUUUGUUAAGUCUUACCUUGUAAUUUUUGCUUUUAAUUUUGAUACCUUUUUAUGACUUAAUAAAAAGGAUGUAUGGUUUUUAUCAAUUGUCUCCAAAAUAAUCUCUUGUUAUGCAGGGAGGACAGUUCUUUUCAUUCAUACAUAAUAAAUUCAAUAGUUGCUUCCCGAACUGCAAAGACAAUCUUAUUUAGUUGAGUAGCUCCUAAAAGAAGCUUUGAUUAGAAGUAUGUGUGUUACACCCCCACAUUAAUGUGCUGUGUGGGGCAGUUCAACACAAAUGUAACAAUGUAUUUUUGCGAAUGAGAGUUGGCAUGUCAAAUGCAUCGUCUAGAAAAAUAAUUGGUGUUAUAGUCUUAAGAUUUGUUUUCUAAAGUUGAUACUGUGUGUUAUUUUUGUGAACAGCCUGAUGUUUGGGAUCUUUUUUUCCUCAAAAUAAAUAGAUCCUUAUUAAACUAGGAAUUUGGAGGGAAAAAAACCCUGUUUUUUUAAAUUUUUGUAUUGUAUUAUUGUUUUCUUCAAGCUCUUUGUUUUACAGAGUCCUCCACAAAACCCCUAGAAUGUACUAGAUAUAUUUUUCUUGAAGUCAUAAUCAUUAUGCAUACAAACAUAACGCUACUCAAAUUCUAUUUCAUUGAGAUGCAUGUUGCAUUGAGGAGUCAAAUAACUUGACAGAGAGUGGAGAUUGUUUUUCAAAAUGGCUUUUACAUCCUAAUGAAAGUUUGGGAAGUAUAUCCUCUCUGCCUUUUCAUCAGUGCUUUGUGGUCCAGCUGGCACCCUUUUUGAAGUUUUUGUUGUGUGCUAAAUUGUUUUGUCCUUAAAUAGGAGAGGCUCAAAAACAUUAAGAUUUCAGGAAAAUUGCAACAGCUGGAGAAUGGAACUCCUACUUUCUUCUGUUUUGUCUUUUUAAUUACUACUUAUAGCCCCAGUUACCUUCUGAACUCUGAAGUGUUACCUCAAUGUUACUGAAAACAAGUAAACUUUUAUUUCCUGAUAUUCCAUAGUCUGCCUUCCCAGGUGACUGAAAACAUAGAGAAUGUCACACAUUUAUUUUACCCUAAAUAAUCUUUUACUCAUAUUAGCUAAUCUUUGUGUUUUCUCUCAACUUUAUUGAUUGCAGUGAUUGCAUUUUUAGCAUCCAGUCUUCUUAAGAUGAAUAUAUUAAGCAGCUGCCAAUGUUGUAAUACCUCAUCCUUGAAAGGCCUAGUUCAUUUGUGUUUUUACUUCAGUUUUUCCAGCACAGCAGAAAAUGACAUUUAUAAUUUUUGUGCACACAAACCGUGGAUUCCCCUAUAAAGUUUCUAUUGUUUCAUAGCAUGCAGCACUGGCAUUUUUUCAUCCUACUGCAUUACGGGCAAAAUUCAUGUCUUAUUUAUAAGGAUUUUAUAGAUCAUUUUAUGUAACAGGUGACAAAAGCAGAAUAGAAGAGGCUGAACUAUGGACUACCUUUGGAGCCAAGAUACAUGAUAUAAAGGCACUUUCUUUUGUAUGUUAAUCGGUCAAAAAUACUACCCACUUGAUGUUUUCUGAUCUGAUGUGGGGAAUAUGGGCGAGGAGAGAAGCUCAUGUUACACAGACUUUUAGUAAGUAACCCAUGACUAGAAAAUAAACGGGAUACUUAAGAAAAAGAAAAACAAAAAAAACCCUACUGUUUGUUCAGUGCCCCCUAUGUGCUGUCCCUACACUAUCCAUAAUCCCCACAGCAUCUUGUGAUACUAUUACUAUUCUUUGUACUGAUGAUGGAACAGAAGAUUGGAGAGUGACAUCUUACACAGCAUCUCAAAGCUGGCAGUGGUCCAACGGUUCCAGUCCAGGUCUGUGUACUAUGAUCUCACACUUUUCUCAUCAAGGGGACUAAGGGGCUCCUGUAACAAGACUAACUCUAGUAUCCUCUAUCUUUCUGGGGAGAGCUCAGUCACAGACUUUGAUCACUACUGCUACUGGGAAGGUAGGAAUUAAGCACAAUGCUCUGUUUGGAUCCAGUAACUGAAUUAUACUCAACUAUUGGAUUCCCACAGAGUGUCUGUGCAGGUGGAACAGGGCCUUCCUCCCCUACCCUAUGCAUGUGCAGAAGGAGAGGCCUGACAGGGGGAACCAGGCUGGAGUUUGGAACACCAGUAGCUGUAAAGACCACCUGGGGACUCUGCAUGAGACUCAGCAUCUGCUGCCUCUGGGGCCAGGGGUUAUGGUCUUCUUCUUCCCUAAAGGCUGCCACACUAACCUGGCUUACUCCUUCCUCUUCCUCCCUGGGGGAAGGGAGGAUCUGAUAAAACUGAUGAGAUUGAAAAAAGAGCCUGAAGUUGGACCCAUCAGCCCCUCCCAAGUGCUUUCCCCUUUGGCCCUCAUGCAUGUGAGCACAAGUUUUCCUCCUGUCCUCUGUCUCUCUGAUGCUGUGGCCUGUUAGGGACAAGCCUGUGGUUUUGGGUGGGUAAACCCAAUUCAGGGAAAUGUAUUGGGGAACCCAAUUGCAGCUGCAGAUCCAAGGUGCCUUUUCCAGUUUAGCUUUACCUGCUAUGAAGUGGACUCUGGUGACCGCUGUUUCACAUUGCUUGGAGCCCACUGUGGAAAGAGGAUGGAUAGACUUCCAUCUCAGUGGUUGCCCUGAAAUGCCAAUGUGGGGAAUCUGGGCGAGGAGAGAAGUAACCAGAGGGGGCAUACCGGCAUGCCUUCACCGUGUAGUUGUUUCUGCUGUCCCAAGCUGGAUGGACACUCCUGAGAUACGUUGCUACUUGCUCCCCUGCUCCCCAUGCCCUCAAUGUUUUAUAGAUCCCAGGGCACUUGGCACACCUGGAUUGAGGCCCCAACCUACCUGUCCAAGCUCCUCUCCCCCAUGCUCUGACCUGCCUAGUCAGCUCUAGCACAACACCCUGAAUAUCCCACUCAGUUCCAACAUCUGUGGCACCCUUCUGCUGGCAAUGCUGAGGGUUAAGUUGGAGAACCUGGCAAGAACCUUAGAGGCCAUGAUGCUCAACUCUCCAUCCAGAGAAGGGGCUAUCUGGACUUGGCUUUCUUGUCUUGCUUCUUGGAGCAACCACUCCUGGGACUUGGUAUUUCUGGUUCUUCUAAAACAUUUCUUUAGACUAGAAAUCUGCCUCCUUGCUACUUAUGUCUGGUGCAGGUGCUGUGGGUGCCACCUCCACACAUUCCCGGCAGUCCUCCCCAGGUACUUGUUCCCUCUCUGGUUCCCUGUGCCAUAGUAAUUAGAUGGUGUUUCAUCAUUCCAUGACAUGAAACAAGUGUUGCUAACUUUUUCCUUCCCUCUCUUGACACCUGCCUUAACCUCUCAAGUAGUUCAGAACUCCUUGAGGCUGGGGCUAUGCUCCAGCCAUCUCUUUACUCCUCCCACUUAGCACAGAGGAGGUUUCAGGAAAGCCUACACAAUUGUCUGGGCCCAACAUCUUGCCCAUCUCCCAACAUUUCAACAUGGAACUGAAGGGGUGGCUUGUGCAAAUGGCCCCAUUUGCUCAUUGCCCACUGAGUAUCCAUGGGUCAACCUGGAACUUAAGUUGCUCACCACCUAAAGGAGGAAACUGACAUGCAAGCAGAAAAUCAAAAUACAGGGCAACCUCACUAGAAAGGAGGCCUAUAGAGAAUGCUGCAGGAACAUAGGAAGGAACAAUCAGUAGACCAGUGAUAGGGUGAGCUGGGCCCAGAAAAACUGAGCCUGGAAGGAGGGGCAGGAGUAGCUCAUUGACAUGGCCUCAAACGUGGCCUUUUAUCUCCAAUCGUUAGACAGCUACAGAGGUACAUGGACAGUUUUGAAAGAAGGUCAUCAUCAUAUGACUAUAAACUACUGUUCCAUACUUAGGGUGACCAGCUUGUCCUGGUUCACCCAGGACUUUUCUGAUUUUAGCACCAAGUCCCUUCAAUCCCAAGCAGAUCGGGGUGGAUGGUCACUUAGACCUAAGUCUGGAAUGGUAGUAUGAGUUAUUAUAUGCUAUAAAUCCUUUCAUUAUCUUCAGACCGGCACAAUUAAAUUGUAUCAUAAUGUUUUUGUGCCAAUAGCAUUAGUGGGUUAGUGGCAAACAUUUAAAAUUUGUUGUCCCCUCUCUUUUUUUUUGAGACAGAAUCUCUCUCUGUCACCCAUGCAGCGGCAUGA